AUCUAUGGCCAUGCCACCCUGAACACGCCCGAUCCCAUCUGAUCUCGGAAGCUAAGCAGGAUCGGGCCUGGUUAGUACUUGGAUGGGAGACCACCUAGGAAGACCAGGUGCUGUAGGCG
rnacentral:rRNA from 1 species